rnacentral:rRNA from 1 species
ACGGGUGAGUAAUAUAUCGGAACGUGCCCAGUCGUGGGGGAUAACGUAGAGAAAUUUACGCUAAUACCGCAUACGAUCUAAGGAUGAAAGCGGGGGAUCGCAAGACCUCGCGCGAUUGGAGCGGCUGAUAUCAGAUUAGGUUGUUGGUGAGGUAAAAGCUCACCAAGCCGACGAUCUGUAGCUGGUUUGAGAGAACGACCAGCCACACUGGGACUGAGACACGGCCCAGACUCCUACGGGAGGCAGCAGUGGGGAAUUUUGGACAAUGGGCGAAAGCCUGAUCCGGCAAUGCCGCGUGCAGGAAGAAGGCCUUCGGGUUGUAAACUGCUUUUGUACGGAACGAAACGGCUCUUUCUAAUAAAGAGGGCUAAUGACGGUACCGUAAGAAUAAGCACCGGCUAACUACGUGCCAGCAGCCGCGGUAAUACGUAGGGUGCGAGCGUUAAUCGGAAUUACUGGGCGUAAAGCGUGCGCAGGCGGUUAUAUAAGACAGUUGUGAAAUCCCCGGGCUCAACCUGGGAAUUGCAUCUGUGACUGUAUAGCUAGAGUACGGUAGAGGGGGAUGGAAUUCCGCGUGUAGCAGUGAAAUGCGUA